UAGACACACAUUGAAAGACACUCGAACAAGGUCGUUCUGCCUUGCUGCAAAGUCCAACCAGAUUAUCAGUAAAAGCCUUAUCCAAAAUCCUUUGAUGUCAAACAGAGUAUUUCUACUGGCUGGAUUUAAUAUUGAAUGCAGAUUCAAUCCAAACUGGAGUGCAACAAUCAACCACUCAACUCCACAACUCUCCCUGGCGACACUCAUGGGAUUUCAAACUGUAACCUCACAUUGGAAAUUUCUGCAUCCAAUUACCACUUAUCAGAGGCCACCAAUCUCUUAAACUUUAAUGGUUAAAGAAAACUCACUGUUUGGUUUACAAAGGCAAUAAACACCUUAAUGCUUUCAUCUUUGUUUUCUCUAGGAAAUGACUUAAGAAGAAAACCCUCUAACAGUGAUCUCAGCAUUCAUACAGCAGUGAACUUCAGAUACAGUAAUUGCAUCGCUGAGAGCUAUGACGACUUUCCCAUGGGGGAGAAAUGACCUGGUAAUUCACGAAUGACAAAGUCAAAAGUAAGGUAAGCCGGGGGAGGGAAAGGAUUUCCCCCUAGGAUGAGAUAAAUGUAAUUUCUCACAGCAGUGUAUAUGUCUCUUAAGCCUCAGGUGGUUUUAAGUUAAUGAGAUUAGUUCCAGCAGGCAGUGAAAUCCCAGGAUAUAGGAAUUAUAUUUCAUCAGUUUUCACUUCAUCCAGCAAGCACGGUGGAGUCAAUCUUUGUGUCAUUUUGUUAUUGUCCUGGUUUGGGUCUUGUUCUCAGGCUCAAGCCUGGCUAAAGCACCUCAUAACUUUGACUUAAAAGCUUAAGCAUCAUGUAAAGAGUGUGUUUAAAUGUUUGAAAGGGAGGAGAAAAGCACCAGGCCUAAUCUGUAGAAAAGGAUUUUUUUGUUUCACUUUUCAGAUGUGCUUCUAUUCAUGGAAUUUGUUCUUGUACUUUCCCUAAACCAAGGUCACAUGCAUUUUUAUCCUGGACACACAAAAAGCCCUCAGAAUGCACUGCUGUAAGAAGCACUGCCUUUAUAAUAUUUACACCCUAAAAAUAUGGACAUUAACAGGUCCUGAUGACUGGCUAGUUCAGUAUUUUAAUAAUAACCAAAAAGAGCUCCUCUCCAGUGACCACCCACUGGAUGUUCAAGCUGCAGUUUCCAGUCCCCAGAUCUGCUCAUACAAGAACACCUUCACUCCUUUAUGCCAUUACAACAGCUGUAAAGAAGAAGGCUCUUAAAAGAUUAAAAAUAAGGUCAGAUGAGAACACUGAUUUCCACUAAGAAUUCUUCUACAACCAGCCCAAUUUUUACUUACUAUCAUUGAAUAACCGCUAAUUUAGCAAUUGUUUUACAAACUAGAUACUAUUUUUAGCUGUGAAUUUAAAUUUAACCUUGAUGAAAUCACCACUGUAAUAAAAAUGCAGAAAAAUCUAGUGUUGCCAAUAUGCUUUAGGAAGGUCUUUCCCAUCCAACAGGGGAAUGACCUUUACUCCACUCGUGAAAAUGUGCAGACAUCACAUCAAGAAAAUGCUCAUAUUAGUCCCAUGUCUCUUUCCAAGACAGUCUAAUUAAACUUCACAUCCAGAAAGUACAUGGAGGAAUUAUUUUUACUCGGGCAAUUGAACCUCAAAAUAAAAAAAUGAACUCUAUUAAAAAAAAAUUCUACAAUACCCAAAUCCA